UACAGAGGUCUCAAGCGUUUGUUCGGAUUCAUUGGGCGUAAAGGGUGCGUAGGCGGCGCGGUAAGUCGGGUGUGAAAUCUUGGAGCUUAACUCCGAAACUGCAUUCGAUACUGCCGUGCUUGAGGACUGGAGAGGAGACUGGAAUUUACGGUGUAGCGGUGAAAUUCGUAGAUAUUGGGAAGAACACCGGUGGCGAAGGCGGCUCUCUGGACCGAGACUGACGCUGAGGCGCGAAAAGCGUGGGGGAGCAAAC
rnacentral:rRNA from 1 species